rnacentral:lncRNA from 1 species
AUGGAAGAGGAGAAGAGCCCCUUGGCUCCUUCCUUCUUCCACAGAGGCACUUCAUGGUGCUGGGGGAAGCUCACAGAGGGACAGGAUGAAGCUCAUGAGGGCAACCCAAGGGCCUGGGAUGCUCCAAACUAUCUGUGGAGGCUCCUGAGGUGGCAAAAACACAAAAAGAAGGAGUGCUGGCUCAAGUGGCAUUUGUUUAUUUGCAGCAAGUCAAGCCCUGGAACGGGAUGUCCAGGAGGGAUCUGGAGGCUCCAUCCUGGGAAAUCACCAAAGCCUACCUGGACACCCUGGGCUGAGCCUGAGUGUGGCAAUUCAUGUUUUGGGAGGGUGGGCUAUGUGUCCCUGCACUGGUGCCAGCUCCUCCCUGAGGAGCCUGGGAUGUCCUGCUGGGACGCUGGAGCUUGUCCCUGGUCAGCAUUCCAGCUCCUCCAGCGCCUCUGGUUUGUGGAGUGGUCGCGGGGCACCAUUCCCUGGGAGGCUCUUUGGGAGCUCUGGCCUCUCCUGUGGGAUCUGCCCCGGGUUCGCCUCCUUGUCGCAUGCUGUUGCCUGGGGGAAUCCCAGUCUUCCCACUGGUGUCUCUCACUCCUCCUCGAGGGAGUGUCACUCUGGGACCUUGGAGUGUGUCUGUCAUCAUCAUCCCAGCUCCUCCAGCGCCUCUGGUUUGCGGAGUGGUUGCGGGGCAUCGUUCCCUGGGAGUUCUGGCCUCUCCUGUGGGAUCUGCCCCGGGUUCGCCUCCUUCUUGUACGCCGUUGUCUGGAGGAAUCAGAGUCUUCCCGCUCUCCACGUGUCUCUGGGGAGAUGUCUGUGGGGACAUCGUGUUGGGGCCUUGGAGCGUGUCUGUCAUCAGCAUUCCAGCUCCUCCAGCGCCUCUGCCUUGUGGAGCGGUCAUGGGAGCCUGUCUGGGCAUCCUGGUCUCUAGGGGAGGACCUGCUCUGUCGCCUGUCCCAGCCAUGGGAACGCUCCCUGUCCCUGCUCCACCUGCGGUGGCCCCAUGGCUGCUCAUGCUGGCUCCAUGACCUGCUGGACCUGCCCCAGGAUUGA